UUUUAGCCCGGAUAGCAGCGGAAACCCCGCAGGACUAAAAGCUACUUUUUCUUGGCUUUUUGGGGCGACCAAAGAAGCCGCGAAAAAGUUAUAGAAAAAUAGCUUUUAGGCCGAGGAGUUGCAGCGGAUAGCCGGAAUAGCU
rnacentral:sRNA from 1 species